rnacentral:tRNA from 1 species
GGCUCAAUGGUCUAGGGUAUUGAUUCUCGCUUUGGGUGCGAGAGGUCCCGGGUUCAAAUCCCGGUUGAGCCC